ACGGAGGGUGCAAGCGUUAUCCGGAUUCACUGGGUUUAAAGGGUGCGUAGGUGGGUAUGUAAGUCAGUGGUGAAAUCCCCGAGCUUAACUUGGGAACUGCCGUUGAUACUAUAUAUCUUGAAUGUCGUAGAGGUAAGCGGAAUAUGUCAUGUAGCGGUGAAAUGCUUAGAUAUGACAUAGAACACCAAUUGCGAAGGCAGCUUACUACACAAUGAUUGACGCUGAGGCACGAAAGCGUGGGGAUCAAACAGGA
rnacentral:rRNA from 1 species